AGUGGCGGACGGGUGAGUAACGCGUGGGUAACCUGCCUCAUACAGGGGGAUAACAGUUAGAAAUGACUGCUAAUACCGCAUAAGACCACAGCACCGCAUGGUGCAGGGGUAAAAACUCCGGUGGUAUGAGAUGGACCCGCGUCUGAUUAGGUAGUUGGUGGGGUAACGGCCUACCAAGCCAACGAUCAGUAGCCGACCUGAGAGGGUGACCGGCCACAUUGGGACUGAGACACGGCCCAA
rnacentral:rRNA from 1 species